rnacentral:rRNA from 1 species
AUUGAACGCUGGCGGCAUGCCUUACACAUGCAAGUCGAACGGCAGCACGGGGGCAACCCUGGUGGCGAGUGGCGAACGGGUGAGUAAUGCAUCGGAACGUACCCGGAAGUGGGGGAUAACGUAGCGAAAGUUACGCUAAUACCGCAUAUUCUGUGAGCAGGAAAGCAGGGGAUCGCAAGACCUUGCGCUUUCGGAGCGGCCGAUGUCGGAUUAGCUAGUUGGUGAGGUAAAAGCUCACCAAGGCGACGAUCCGUAGCUGGUCUUAGAGGAUGAUCAGCCACACUGGGACUGAGACACGGCCCAGACUCCUACGGGAGGCAGCAGUGGGAAUUUUGGACAAUGGGCGAAAGCCUGAUCCAGCCAUGCCGCGUGAGUGAAGAAGGCCUCGGUUGUAAG